GGGUCCGUAGCUCAGUGGUAAGAGCGUUCGGUUCACAUCCGAAAGGUCUCUGGUUCAAAUCCAGACGGACCCACCA
rnacentral:tRNA from 4 species